rnacentral:rRNA from 1 species
AGCGAACGCUGGCGGCAGGCCUAACACAUGCAAGUCGAGCGGCCGUAGCAAUACGGCAGCGGCAGACGGGAGAGUAACACGUGGGAACGCGCCCUUCGGUUCGGAAUAACUCAGGGAAACUUGAGCUAAUACCGGAUACGCCCUUACGGGGAAGGAUUUAUUGCCGAAGGAACGGCCCGCGUCCGAUUAGCUUGUUGGUGAGGUAACGGCUCACCAAGGCGACGAUCGGUAGCUGGUCUGAGAGGAUGACCAGCCUCACUGGGACUGAGACACGGCCCAGACUCCUACGGGAGGCAGCAGUGGGGAAUAAUGGACAAUGGGCGCAAGCCUGAUCCAGCCAUGCCGCGUGGGUGAUGAAGGCCCUAGGGUUGUAAAGCCCUUUCAGCGGGGAAGAUAAUGACGGUACCCGCAGAAGAAGCCCCGGCUAACUUCGUGCCAGCCGCCGCAGUAACAC